rnacentral:rRNA from 1 species
GGUCACUGCUAUUGGAGUUCGAUUAAGCCAUGCGAGUCGAGAGGGUUCGGCCCUCGGCGAACUGCUCAGUAACACGUGGAUAAUCUGCCCUGGGAUCGGGGAUAACCUCGAGAAAUUGAGAAUAAUACCCGAUAGUUCUGGUAUGUUGGAAUGCUUCCAGAAUGAAAGCUCCGGCGUCCCAGGAUGAGUCUGCGCUCUAUUAGGUAGUAGUGAGUGUAAGGUACUUACUAGCCUUUGAUGGAUACGGGCCUUGAGAGAGGUAGCCCGGAGAUGGACUCUGAGACAUGAGUCCAGGCCCUACGGGGUGCAGCAGGCGCGAAAACUUCACAAUGCAGGAAACUGUGAUGAGGGAACUCCAAGUGCUCAUUUUUGAGCUGUACUGGUCCCUAAAAAGGAUCAGGAGAAAGGGCUGGGCAAGACUGGUGCCAGCCGCCGCGGUAAUACCAGCAGCUCUAGUGGUGAUCGCUUUUAUUGGGCCUAAAGCGUCCGUAGCCGGAACUAUAAAUCCUUGAGUAAAUCGAGCAGCCUAACUGUUCGGCUUUAGAGGAGACUGUAGUUCUUGGGACUGGGUGAGGUCAGAAGUACUCUGGGGGUAAGGGUGAAAUCUAAUCAUCCUCAGGGGACUACCAGUGGCGAAGGCGUCUGACUAGAACGGAUCCGACGGUGAGGGACGAAACUUUGGGGAGCGAACCGGAUUAGAGACCCGGGUAGUCCAAAGCGUAAACGCUGUGGGCUUGGUGUUGGGGGUCCUACGUGGGCGCCCAGUGCCGGAGAGAAGUUGUUAGGCCUACCGCCUGGGAAGUACGGUCGCAAGACUGAAACUUAAAGGAAUUGGCGGGGGAGCACUGCAACGGGUGGAGCGUGCGGUUU